GCUUCCUGCAAAGAGUCGACAAUGCUAGCCACAUCAUUAAGAUUGCACUAGGCAUUUCUUAUCCUAUGCUGUAAUAGGCUUUUUUUUGGUAAAGAAUUGUUAUCUUAAAUUCUCUGCAAGUUUCCAUAUUGAACUUGCAAUCAAGUAGGAGUAGUUGCAGUGCAACCUUCAGUGUUAGGCUGGUAGCUGGGGAAUGGAAUGAGAAGACAAUGAUCAUCCUACCAAAUGCUUGAGCUUUUCUGACUGUCUUGUUCAUUGUACACCAGCAAAUCAGCCUAAACGUUUUUUAUGUAGUAGGUUAAAUAAAAUUUCAGGUUGAUGCUGAAACGUCAGCAAUCGGAAUGUACCUUCGGAAUAUGCUUCUGGACGAAGAGCCCAAGACCAGCUUGCCAAUGUUGAAUUUGUCGAUUUCCUCGCUUAUAGCAGCCGGCACAUCAUCAGAUUCAAGUAAAACAGCUUCGGCUUCCACCUGUUCAUCAAUCAUAUUACUAUCAGUGUUAGAAUUCGUGAGUUAUAUUAAUCUCAACUGUCAUGCCAAGUUAUAUAAUUGUUGCGCAAGCUGGUUAACCUGUCUCUGAGCACACAUCUUCUUGUAAGGGAGCAACAUGUUCCUCGCUUGCCAUUCCAGCUCUUCCCUGUACGCCGAUGCCACAUCGUCGCGCACUUGCGAGACCGGGAUGUAAUUGCCCACUGUCAUCAGAGGAUGAAGAAUAGCAGGUCAGAUCAGUGUUCUGAAUAAUUGGCAACGACUAAAGAACAGCAGUACGCCCAAGGACAAAACUCUGCACUCUGCAGUUGGUGCUCUGGUAGUAGACAUCAAGAACAGUAAAUUCAGACAGUAGGCAGAGAUGAGAGAGAAGACAGACUUGGAGUGGGCACCAUGGUGAUGGGCGGGCGGACAUGGAGGAUCCGGAAGAGGACCCUCCCGCCGGGCACGAACUUGUCGAGGGCCC